rnacentral:tRNA from 1 species
UUGGGAUGUAGAUCAAUUGGCAGAUCGUCGGCCUCUGACUCCGAAGGUUCCACGUUCGAUCCGUGGCAUCCCAGCCAA